CCAGCCUCGCGCCGCCGCCGCCGCCGCCGCCUCAGCCCAACAUGGCGAUGCACAACAAGGCGGCGCCACCGCAGAUCCCGGACACCCGGCGGGAGCUGGCAGAGCUCGUGAAGCGGAAGCAGGAGCUGGCGGAAACACUGGCAAACUUGGAGAGACAGAUCUAUGCUUUUGAAGGAAGCUACCUGGAAGACACUCAGAUGUAUGGCAAUAUUAUUCGUGGCUGGGAUCGGUAUUUGACCAACCAAAAAAACUCCAAUAGCAAAAAUGAUAGAAGAAACCGGAAGUUUAAGGAAGCUGAGCGGCUCUUCAGUAAAUCCUCAGUUACGUCGGCAGCUGCAGUAAGUGCAUUGGCAGGAGUUCAGGACCAGCUCAUUGAAAAGAGGGAGCCAGGAAGUGGGACAGAAAGUGAUACUUCUCCAGACUUCCACAAUCAGGAAAAUGAGCCCAGCCAGGAGGACCCUGAGGAUCUGGAUGGAUCUGUGCAGGGAGUGAAACCUCAGAAGGCUGCUUCUUCUACUUCCUCAGGGAGUCAUCACAGCAGCCAUAAAAAACGGAAGAAUAAAAACCGGCACAGCCCGUCUGGCAUGUUUGAUUAUGACUUUGAGUAUGUAUAUUAGGUUAGGCUGGGAAGUUUUUUUUAAAAACAGAAAAACGUGAUGGAGAAUUGAUCUGAAGUUAAACAAAAAACCACGAGCUGACUAUUAGAAGACUCAUUAGUGCAGAAGCCUCCAGGCUGUAGAGCUCUGCUUCCCUUCUCCGACCUCAUACAGAUAAAGAUAAACAUCCCUCACCUGAGUGCGUGGCCAUCCACCUCUGCUCUCCCAGACCCAGUGCCUGUGACUCUGAGUAGUUUGUUCUAAAUGUUGUGACAAACAAGUCAUUUCUGUAAGACAUCGGAUCAUUUGCUUUGUGUCAUUUUUAGUAACAGAGCUGCAGGAAGACCAAGACAUGGUUAUAAUCGCAGCAAGUUGUUAACUGUGCAUUUCUCCCUUCUUAGAAUGAACAUUUUUCCCCAAACUGGCUGCUGCCAGCCACAUCUGUGAUCCCUGUUGAGAAAUAUUCUCUGGUUUUCUUUUAUGCUAAGUAGAACACAAGUCACAAUGAUGUAGGCUGUAAAUAUCUGGCAUUCUCUUACUUUGUUGUGUUUUAUUUUCUGUUGUUAUUUUACCAUCUCAUUUUCUUUGGGGACUUUUUGUAAUGCCUUUGUACAGCUCAUACCUUCCUGCCAACAUAUCUGGUAAUCUAUUUCAUGCAGUUGCCAAUAUUCCAACUGAAAAUAAUGUGGCUUACCAUAGUAAAAUGGGAAACUUGGCUCUUUGUUUUCUUGCAGGAGGAAGGUAAAGAGUGUUUAUUCAAAAAUUACCUAUCUUAAAUCUUUGAGUUGAAAGCAGUUUCAUGUUCAAGGAACAGGAAAAGCGGAAAAACACAAGUUAAAAUCAGUUCUUUUAAAAUAGAUAUUUUUAUUCUUUUGUAUAAAUAAAAUUUCACAGGCUUUGACUUCUCAUGCUUUACUUUUAAACCUGAGAUUGUUUUUUUACUUAUUUAUUCAUAUCAUGCCUUAUUGGAAAUUUCUUUUUUCCCAUCUUUUUGUUAGUAAUCACCUGAUUAAAUAUUGCUGUAAAAAUCACCAAGGCAAUGGAAAGUCUCAAAAUUCCACCAGAAGCUGAUAAUGUAAGUUCUUGARCGGAGUGAAAGGUAGCAUCAGCAGAGCCAGCACUGCCUCAGGGACAUUGUCCUUGCAGGGGUCAGUAGGCAGAGGAACUUGCUGAUGAUUGUGCUUGAUUCAGUGCAGUGGUCGCCUACUUUGGCAGCAGAUUGUAAUCACCUAGGAACCCUAAAAAUGCUGAUGUCUGGGCCCUGCUCCCAGAGACCCUAGGGUCCAUACAGCCUGCUUACUAGGAUUUCUUUUCAAAGGGUCCUGGUGAUGCUGAUAAGAAGCCAUGUGGAGAGCCACUGCAUUAGGAAACUGAAUACUUUGAUUAAGUGCUAUGCUGUGAAUCAUUCUAAGAUUUGGGCCUUGCCUUUCCGUGACUCUAUUUAGUCAUAGUCCUUUAUGUAUGCCCAUCUCUUUGUAAGAAGAAAUAUGUUCAUUGUGAUCUCAGUGGAGCUGAAUAUGGAUGGCAUCUGUUAUCAGAACAAAGCUGCCUUGUCAGGUGUGCAAAAGCUUUCACUUUUGUUCUCAAAUAAACUUUUUUUUUUUUUCUCUGU